rnacentral:rRNA from 1 species
CCUACGGGAGGCAGCAGUGGGGAAUAUUGGACAAUGGGCGAAAGCCUGAUCCAGCAAUGCCGCGUGAGUGAUGAAGGCCUUAGGGUUGUAAAGCUCUUUUUACCAGGGAUGAUAAUGACAGUACCUGGAGAAUAAGCUCCGGCUAACUCCGUGCCAGCAGCCGCGGUAAUACGGAGGGAGCUAGCGUUAUUCGGAAUUACUGGGCGUAAAGCGUACGUAGGCGGUUAUUCAAGUCAGAGGUGAAAGCCCGGGGCUCAACCCCGGAACUGCCUUUGAAACUAGAUAACUAGAGUCUUGGAGAGGUUAGUGGAAUUCCGAGUGUAGAGGUGAAAUUCGUAGAUAUUCGGAAGAACACCAGUGGCGAAGGCGACUAACUGGACAAGUACUGACGCUGAGGUACGAAAGCGUGGGGAGCAAACAGGAUUAGAUACCCUGGUAGCCCACGCCGUAAACGAUGAUAACUAGCUGUCCGGGCACUUGGUGCCUGGGUGGCGCAGCUAACGCAUUAAGUUAUCCGCCUGGGGAGUACGGUCGCAGAUUAAAACGUUAAAUGAAUUGACGG